GACAAUCUGCCUAACUAAACGUAGACAUUAAUAAUUGUGCUAUUCUACAAAAAUUUGCACAUAUUCCCGACAAGUUUUUCGAGUUUUCAGUUUUGAAUAUUUUAAAACAUGUUAUUGUUGUGAAAAAUAAAAAAAAUAAAUCUUAAGUCAAUGAUUAAAAAGAGUACAUUACGGGGUGCGCAUGGAAGAUUUUAAACAGUUUUGCUAUAAAAGUGAAUUAUUAAACAGUUUGGAUCUAAUUUUUAAAAGAAAAUCGGGAUAUUUCAUGCACUAUUCGGGAUUUUCACGCAUAUUAAAAAUGAGGAUCAAAUAUUACAUAAAUUAGAACAAAUUUUUGUUUUUAAUUUAAUUCUUCCAGAUUUCGCCGGAUUUAAGGUUUUUGCGGUGUUUGGCAUAAUUUUGAUGCUAUGUUCAAGAAUGUACCUGAACCUAUGUACCUGAAAGAAUGUACUUUUUGGUCCGUUCAAGAACCUAUAAAAAUCUAUCAGUUUUGGAAUUUUCUCCGAUAUCAUAAAAGAGGAAGGUUAUCGUAGUAAACUUUUACAUUCUUGCAGUUCUGGAACAGACCAUUUGUUAUUGGAUAUCAUAAAGGAAAAAUCGGUUAUUGUAGUAAACACUUUUACAUUCUUGCUGUUCUGGAACAGGCCAAGAAUUUGCUGUAAAUUGCCAAAAGUUUUUACUACGAUAACCGAUUUUCCCUUUAUAAUAUCGGACAAAAUUACAGAAAAUUGUAUGUAGGUCCACGUCUUCGUAUAGCCCCCAUACAACGGUACCUCCCAAUAUUCGGUAUUUUGAUGAUUGUACCGUCAUUAUUCGCCGUAGUAGUUUUAAACUACGUAUUUAGUGUUCGUAUUGGGAACUACAGUCUGUGAACGAUUACUGCAGCCUAUGACAGAAAAUUGUCUGUGCACGUUCACGUCUUCAUACAGGCCCCAUAUAACGGAACCUCCCGAUAUUCGGUAUUUUGAUUAUUUUAGCGGCAUUAUUCACCGGAAAUGUUUCAAAUUUGGUAUUGAAGUUCGUGAUGGGCACUACAUCCUAUGACAGAAAAUUGUCUGUGCAGGUCCACGUCUUCGUAUAGCUCCAUAUAACGGUACCUCCCGAUAUUCGGAAUUCUCAUGAUUUUUGCGACAUUAUUCACCGGAAUUGUUUCAAAUUUUGUGUUUGAAGUUCGUAAUGGAUACUACAGCCUAUGGCAGAAAGUUGUCUGUGCAGGUCCACGUCUUCGUAUAUUCCUAAUAUAACGACAUAGGAAGGAUUCGGUAUUUUGUUGAUUUUAGCUACAUUAUUCGCCGAUUUUUUAUUCAAGUUUCACAUUUGAGAAUUGUAAUGGUUUAUGACAAAAGCCUAUGCAGGUCCACGUCGUCGUAUAGACCCUAAUAUAACGACUUCAUUCGGCAUUUUUAAGAUUUUAACAGACUUUUUAACGGAUGUUAUUAUUGUGAAAAUUGCCAAAAUCGUUCCAAAUGGUGAAUGGUAUUCAAAGAUCGGCCCGGCCGGACUUACAGCUUUUUUACUUGUUUACAGCUCCAGCUGGAUUUUACUGAUAUUUCAUUUUUAGACUUCCCUGCUGGGGGGUAUAUGUAUCAAUGUCAAAUUAUAUGUCAAUUUUUCAUUAUUAAAAAAUAAUAAUUUUAAUAAACAAACAUUGUUUUUAUAAAAACAACAAUAAGCCUGACUAUUUUGCAACAACAUAAAAACUUAGUAUAAAAGAUAUUCAAGAAAAUUUGUCACAAAUAUACAUUGUAUUAUUAUUUAAAUGCAAUCUUCGUAAACUCAACGGACAUUGUUUCAACUUAAAGAAUUUCAUACUGAUUUCAUUCAAACGUAUCAAGUGUUACAUUAAACAAAUAACAUUUAGGCGCCCUUCCUAACAAGACAGCAGUGGAACAAUUUGUUCCUCCUCCAAGCGUGAAUGUUAAUGUCAAAUGUGCACGCAAUUUCCGUUCGAUUGGUUGUAUAUUCUCGCGCUGCGAGCAUUAAUCAUAUUUGACUUCGAAGCAGGCAAUAAAACGUCAAUGUUUAAUUGAAAAAACAAAUAGUCGCAGCUAAAGGCAUCACUUUACAAUAUACAAAAAUUAUGAAAGCCAACGAUAGAACGCUAAUCGUGUGUACGAUAUUAUUAUUCAUAGUCAGAGGAUAUGGAAAUCCACUACCACAAAAACAGUUGUUGGGAUUUAUGGAAUUUGGAGAAAGUACUCAUACGUUCGAUGUGUUUCAGAUACAUGACGUUCAAAAAAGUAAUAUACGCGAAAGAAGACAAGCUUUCUGGUACCAACAAAAUGCUGCCCAAAAACAAGCUCAAUCAUUUUUAGAACUCAUAUUGGGUGUUAUGGAUACGUUGCAGUUUGGAAAACGAAAACUUGGUGCACCAUCGUGAGCCUAAAAUAUAUUGAAUAAGCUAUACUAAAUAAAAAUUUCAUUGAAGCUCAUA